rnacentral:rRNA from 1 species
AAGUCGAACGGCAGCACGGGGGCAACCCUGGUGGCGAGUGGCGGACGGGUGAGUAAUGCAUCGAAAUCUGCCCUUGAGUGGGGGAUAACCCGGGGAAACCCGGGCUAAUACCGCAUGAGCUCGAGAGAGGAAAGUGGGGGACCGUGAGGCCUCACGCUGAAGGAUGAGUCGAUGUCCGAUUAGCUAGUUGGUGGGGUAAAGGCCUACCAAGGCGACGAUCGGUAGCUGGUCUGAGAGGAUGAUCAGCCACACUGGGACUGAGACACGGCCCAGACUCCUACGGGAGGCAGCAGUGGGGAAUAUUGGACAAUGGGGGAAACCCUGAUCCAGCAAUGCCGCGUGUGUGAAGAAGGCCUGCGGGUUGUAAAGCACUUUUAUCCGGAACGAAAAGCUAAUCACGAAUAAUGGUUAGUGCUGACGGUACCGGAGGAAUAAGCACCGGCUAACUUCGUGCCAGCAGCCGCGGUAAUACGAAGGGUGCGAGCGUUAAUCGGAAUUACUGGGCGUAAAGCGUGCGUAGGUGGCGGGUCGAGUUCACCGUGAAAGUCCUGGGCUUAACCUGGGGAUUGCGGUGAGUACUGACCUGCUC